rnacentral:lncRNA from 1 species
CUUACGGUGAGGAAUAGCAACAAAAGAAGAUGCUUACACUUUUGUCCCUUGUGGAUUUCUUUUUAAUGUUUCAGAGCAAUGAACAUAUGGCUGCUACUAUCAGCACUGGUGUAUUUGCAGCGAUGCCUAUCAACAUCCACCAGAGAGCAGGGCAGCUCCAAAACCCACAUCUUUUAUGCUGUGGAAAUUGAUGGAGACAGCAACACAGCCAGCUUCUUGGCCAAACAACAUGGAAUGCAGUUCAUUUCAAAGCCUGUAAGGCUUGUGCAUGAUGUAUAUGAGAGCGAUUUCCAGCAGAGAGAAGCUUAUCACAGAUCCACCUAAAAGGUAAGUCUAUUUUUUCAGUUUUUAGUUCACAUGCAGAACAGCUGCCUGUAGAACAGCUGCCCGCAGAACAGGAAAGAAAUUUGGUUUAGGGAUUGAUUAUACAUGUCUUACCCAUACAGUAAGUCAGAAAUAAGCAUGAUGAACUUCAGAUAAACCCAGAAUGUAUAAAUGGCAAGAACAGCAAUACUAGAAUAUUUACCUCCUAAUUUUGUGCUACACUACAUUUUUAGUGCAUUUUUUUCUUCCUAAGUUGUUCAGGGCAAAGGAGAAGAGCUUGAGUAAAGUCCAGGUUUUUUAGUCUCUCCCAGAUCUGUAGUAUUCAUAUCCAUGAUUUGGGCAAGAUAAUUUACUGAAUUACAAAUCUGACAGGCAAUGCAUGCAAAAGAAUGAAUCAGUACUAUCAGCAUUCCUCGUGUUUGCUAAGGAAAACAAGGUUAACAAAUGCUAAUGAAUUUUAAGAAAAAAACAAAAGCAGAAGGAAAUGAUGAAGAAUUAAGAAAGGCAAGGAAAAAGAAGAGAGGAG